GACGAACGCUGGCGGCGUGCCUAAUACAUGCAAGUUGAGCGCUGAAGGUUGGUACUUGUACCGACUGGAUGAGCAGCGAACGGGUGAGUAACGCGUGGGGAAUCCGCCUUUGAGCGGGGGACAACAUUUGGAAACGAAUGCUAAUACCGCAUAAAAACUUUAAACACAAGUUUUAAGUUUGAAAGAUGCAAUUGCAUCACUCAAAGAUGAUCCCGCGUUGUAUUAGCUAGUUGGUGAGGUAAAGGCUCACCAAGGCGAUGAUACAUAGCCGACCUGAGAGGGUGAUCGGCCACAUUGGGACUGAGACACGGCCCAAACUCCUACGGGAGGCAGCAGUAGGGAAUCUUCGGCAAUGGACGAAAGUCUGACCGAGCAACGCCGCGUGAGUGAAGAAGGGUUUCGGAUCGUAAAACUCUGUUGGUAGAGAAGAACGUUGGUGAGAGUGGAAAGCUCAUCAAGUGACGGUAACUACCCAGAAAGGGACGGCUAACUACGUG
rnacentral:rRNA from 1 species